CUAUUACUCCAUUCGUCCGAAAAUACUUGUCAUAAAAAUGGAUACAAAUGAAUAUAUGUAGAACUAAAAUACAUUUAGAUACAUCCAUUUUUCGAACAAGUAUUUCUGAACGGAGGGAGUACACA
rfam:Triticum urartu cultivar G1812 contig321204, whole genome shotgun sequence.